rnacentral:rRNA from 1 species
CAGGCCUAACACAUGCAAGUCGAGCGGAAACAGGGGGUGCUUGCACCCCGCUGUCGAGCGGCGGACGGGUGAGUAAUGCAUAGGAAACUGCCCAGUAGUGGGGGAUAGCCCGGGGAAACCCGGAUUAAUACCGCAUACGCCCUUCGGGGGAAAGCAGGGGAUCUUCGGACCUUGCGCUAUUGGAUGUGCCUAUGUCGGAUUAGCUAGUUGGUGGGGUAAAGGCCUACCAAGGCGACGAUCCGUAGCUGGUCUGAGAGGAUGAUCAGCCACAUCGAGACUGAGACACGGCCCGAACUCCUACGGGAGGCAGCAGUGGGGAAUAUUGGACAAUGGGGGCAACCCUGAUCCAGCCAUGCCGCGUGUGUGAAGAAGGCUUUCGGGUUGUAAAGCACUUUCAGCGAGGAGGAAAACCUGGCGAUUAAUACUCGUCAGGCUUGACGUUACUCGCAGAAGAAGCACCGGCUAACUCCGUGCCAGCAGCCGCGGUAAUACGGAGGGUGCAAGCGUUAAUCGGAAUUACUGGGCGUAAAGCGCGCGUAGGCGGUUUGAUAAGCGGGAUGUGAAAGCCCCGGGCUUAACCUGGGAACGGCAUUCCGAACUGUCAGGCUAGAGUAUGGUAGAGGGUAGUGGAAUUUCCUGUGUAGCGGUG